rnacentral:ncRNA from 1 species
UGAAAUAAUUAAGAAAAAUGCCACAACAGCCUCAUUAACGGGCAAAAUAACUCCUUUCUAACACCACUCCCUCAAUCACAUCACUGCCACCACUAAAAUCAAAACCUCCUUCAUUUCUUCACACAAUGUGAUUUCUGCCCAGUGCUUUGAAUGUCAAAGUGAAGAAAUUCAAUCAAUAAUGAAUAAAUGAUGGGAGUAACCAUGACUCUAUUAAGAUAGCCAAAUGCCUCGUCAUCUGCCUCGUCAUCUAAUUAGUGACGUGAAUGAAUGGAUUAACGAGGAUUUCACUGUCCUUGUCUACUAUUCAGUGAAACCACAAUCAAGGGAACGAGCUUGA